rnacentral:rRNA from 1 species
UCAGGAUGAACGCGUGGCGGCGUGCCCAACACAUGCAAGUCGAGCGGAGAUAUAUCGGAGAUUCUUCGGAUGAUCUUUAUAUCUUAGCGGCGGAUGGGUGAGUAACACGUGGGUAACCUGCCCUGCACUGGGGAAUAACAGUUGGAAACGACUGUUAAUACCGCAUAUGCGCACGGGGUCGCAUGACCCUGGGCGGAAAGAUUUAUCGGUGCAGGAUGGGCCCGCGUCGGAUUAACUGGUUGGUGAGGUAAUGGCCCACCAAGGUGUAUGAUCCGUAGCCGACCUGAGAGGGUGACCGGCCACAUUGGGACUGAGACACGGCCCAAACUCCUACGGGAGGCAGCAGUGGGGGAUAUUGCACAAUGGGCGCAAGCCUUGAUGCAGCGACGCCGCGUGAAGGAAGACGUAUUUCGGUAUGUAAACUUCUAUCAGCGGGGAAGAAGAUGACGGUACCCGACUAAGAAGCCCCGGCUAAUUACGUGCCAGCAGCAGC